UAGUUGAAUCAAAGAAAAGCCUCUCACCUCUUUUCAUACGUUGACGAGAGGAGGAUAGUUCGUUUGUAGCUCAAUAGGGUUUAUCGUUCUAGCAGCGCCUCCAUUAGCACUCUUCCAGCAUCUUCUUCCCUCCGUGGAAUUCUCUCGUUCUGUAACUUUCUCUCUCUUUCUCUCUACUUUUAAGUGUCGUAACAGCAGAGGGAUUGGGGGCAUAAAUGUCCACAAAGGGAGCGACGAGUCUCACAAACAACUUCCUCACAGUAUUAUCCAAGGUAUGUUCUUCCAGCAACUCAUUAGAUUCAUUCAAAAAGCUCACAUUGCUGAGAAAUCUCAGUAUUAGCACUGCCGCUGAAAGAACAGAUUUUCAAAACGCUAAUGGAUAUCAAGCAGACAACUCUUCAGAAUAUCAGCAAAACUCUUGUGGGUUUUACGGUGAGAACCAAAAUCCCAUGGCUUUUCACCAGAAAUCAACCGGAUUUAUGGGGGGUAGUUCCGUGGGGGCUUCACAGAGCUCAAACCCCCCCAACGGGAAUUGGGGGGAAAGCACAACAAACGAUUUUGUGGUGAACCCAGUUGGGCAAAACGAAAGCUUUAGUGGGCCUUAUGGGCAAAACUAUGGCGAUUUGCAGCAAAAUUCUAGGGGGGUUUAUAGGGAAAGCUAUAGAAGUACAUAUCAAAACCACCCAGUUGGACAAAAUGGAAACUUUAGUGGGAAUUAUGGUCAGAAUAGCGGAAGGCCACAGCUGGACCCAAAUGGAAUUUCUGCAAGUAAUUCAAGAGGGUUUGUGCCGAAUUCAAGUGGCUUUCACCAGAACAAUAGUGAAGUUUACAAGGAAAGCACUAUAAAUGAAUGGCAGAAUAACCAAUAUCAGCAAAAUGGGAAUUUUAGUGGGCAUUAUGGGAAUAAUGACGGAAAGUUCUUGCAGAACCAUAAUGGGGCUUACACCCAGAGUUCACCAGCACAGCAUAGUAUGAGUGGGUUCACCGGGAUAAAUAGGAAUCUACAGCAUUCAUAUGGGUCUUACCUGGAGGGAGCUAGAGAAAUGAGGCAGAAUCCACAUGGAUUUAAUUCCCAAGGCCUUUUAGAAUCUCAGGGAAGCUUAAACGAGAGCUACAUGCAAAAUUUUGGGCAAGCUCAGCAAGCCUCGUAUGAUCAUAACAUGGUGAACGCUGGAGUGCAGACGCAAGGCCAAAGUUGGAGUGAGCAGAGCCCUAGUGCCGGACACUCUAAUCAGAGCCUCCGUGGAGGACCAAAUCCGCCAAACUCAAAUGCUUCUCAGAUUAUGACGGUUAGUUCUCAAUCAUCCAGUCAUCCAACACAUGGGGGUGAAUUGGCUGAAACAUCUGACAAUCACCCAUAUGUUGGUACGCUUGAGGAGCUAGAUUGUUUUUGCAAAGAGGGGAAAGUGAAGGAAGCUGUAGAGGUCUUGGGUUUUUUAGAAAAGCAGUGUCUUCCUGUUGAUUUGCCCCGAUAUUUACAGUUGAUGCAGGCAUGUGGUGAGGCUCAAUCUCUACAGGAAGCAAAAUAUGUUCAUGAACACAUUGUAAGAUUACAGUCUCCUCUCAGAGUGAGCACCUACAACAAAAUCAUAGAUAUGUAUUGGAAAUGCGGUUCCAUAGAUGAUGCUUGGCAAGUGUUUAACACAAUGCCAAAGCGCAAUUUGACAUCGUGGGAUGCUAUGAUAACAUGGCUUUCGAAGAAUGAUUAUGGGGAGGAUGCCAUUGAUCUGUUUACUAAGUUUAAGAAAACAGGCCUGAAACCUGAUGGUCAAAUGUUUAUUGGAGUUUUUACUGCUUGUAGUGUUUUAGGAGAUAUUGAUGAGGGAAUGCUGCACUUCGAAUCCAUGAGCAAGGAUUAUGACAUUGUCCCAUCCAUGAAUCAUUAUGUGAGUGUAGUAGACAUGCUAGGAAGUACAGGGUUUCUGGAUGAAGCUUUUGAGUUCAUUGGAAAGAUGCCAUUGGAGCCAAGUGUUGAUGUAUGGGAAACUCUAAUGAAUCUCUGCAGAGUUCACGGGCACACGGAGCUUGGUGAUCUUUGUGCUGAGAUUGUUGGGCAGUUGGAACCCUCACGCUUGAAUGAGCAAUCGAAGGCUGGCCUUCUACCCGUGAAACCUUCAGACAUUGCAAAACAGAAAGAGAAGAAGAAACUAUCCAGUCAAAAUCUUUUAGAAGUUAGGAGUCGGGUCCAUGAAUAUCGAGCAGGGGAUAGAUCUCAUCCUGGCACAGAUAGGAUCUAUUCGGAACUUAGGGCUUUGAAGGAACAAAUGAAAGAGGCUGGUUAUAUACCAGAGACUAGAUUUGUGUUGCAUGAUAUAGACCAGGAAGCCAAGGAGGAAGCCCUUCUUGCUCACAGCGAGAGACUUGCUAUUGCCGAUGGUCUCCUGAGUAGUCCAGCUCGAUCACCUAUUAGGAUAAUCAAGAAUCUUCGUGUUUGUGGUGAUUGCCAUACUGCACUGAAGAUCAUCUCAAAGCUUGUUGGCAGAGAACUCAUUAUACGAGAUGCUAAGAGGUUCCACCAUUUCAAAGACGGGUUGUGCUCUUGCCGGGAUUAUUGGUGAACAGACUGAAAUUUGAGGCUUGUAAGCUGGGUUUUGGUUCAAAAUUCAAAUGACUGUGGAUUGGUCUUAGUUCGGUGAUUUUGAAGUUAAGGCCAUUGUGCUUCCUCACACAGAAAGCAGUGAAGAUAACUGCCCACAAACAUGUCUAAAUCAUAAUUGGAAGGAACAAGAUCUCUCUCCCCAGGAUUGAUAAUUUUUUACUCAAUACUCUUGGGUAUUUUGUCCGUGAAUUGACCUCGACGCAAACAGCAAGAACAUCUCUUUCCCUGCACUGAAGCUGUCUUUUCUUUCCGAACACUGUUCUUACAGAGUUGAUUGGUCGGAUGUCAAUAUAUUUGAACUCAAAACUUCAUAAAAUCUGUAUGGGAUAAUUUCAUUUCCAUACGCACCAGCUUGUAUCUGGUGUCAAUAUAUGUAGUAGCAGCCAAACAUUUCAAAAGCUUUUAUUUUGAUGGUGAAGAUUAUUCAUAA